CAGCAGCCGCGGUAAUACGAAGGGUGCAAGCGUUAAUCGGAAUUACUGGGCGUAAAGCGUGCGUAGGCGGUGAGUUAAGUCUGCUGUGAAAUCCCCGGGCUCAACCUGGGAAUGGCAGUGGAUACUGGCUCGCUAGAGUGUGUCAGAGGAUGGUGGAAUUCCCGGUGUAGCAGUGAAAUGCGUAGAGAUCGGAAGGAACAUCUGUGGCGAAGGCGACUAUCUGGGCCAACACUGACACUGAGGCACGAAAGCGUGGGGAGCAAACAGGAUUAGAUACCCCUGUAGUCCCUGUCUCUUAUAC
rnacentral:rRNA from 1 species